rnacentral:misc_RNA from 1 species
GACCACCAAAUUAGGUGAGAAAUUGGAACCUUUCAAGAGUUGUCAAUCCAAAACUAGUAACCUACAAAAUAACUUUUGAUCCAAAACAAAAUUGUACUCUAUGAAAAAAAUGUCAAAAAAAAUUCAGAAAAACCCACAAAAUAUUUAGAAGAAGCUUGAAUUUUGUGAUUGACAGAUGGAGUUGAGGAUGAAGAUGAAGUGGGACCAAGAAGUAUGAAGAAAG